UUACUGUUGAUUGUGACGAAAUGCCAGCUGAGGCACAUGCCUUGGGAGCUAAGUGGUUGCUGCCCUUGACCACUGUGAAGACUGGUGUGGGAAGGGUCGCUUUGGAUGCACUUGAGCAGGGGUCCCCAACCCCUGAGCCAUGGAGCCGCAAGGAGCCACACAGCAGGAGGUGGGACCAUCCAGUUGCAGGAAAACAAGCUUAACACGCCCACUAAUUCUACAUUAUGCUCCUACCUCCCGGCAGCCUCUCCAGGCCCAGAACUUUCUCCAGUCAGCCUCUACAGACCAAGCUCAUGACUCACAAUGGCCUAUUUAGGCCCAUACCCUACGUCACGGCAGCCUCCGCAGAUGAGGCUACUGCCUCACAACAGCCUCCACAGGCACAGCUCCAUCGUUACAAUGGCCUCUUUAGACCCAGCUCCUGCCUCCCAGCCUUCUCUCCAGGCCCUGAACUUUCUCAAGUCGACCUCACCAGGCCCAGCUCAUGCUUCUUUGCAGCCUCUCCAGGCCCAGCUCCUGCAUCUUGGUGGCCCCUCCAGGCCCAGCCUCUGCCUCCCGUCAGCCUCUACAGUCCCAACGUCUGCCUCACAGCAGAUUCUUCACGCCCAGCAUCUACCUCACUGUGGACCCCCCAAGCCAAGCUCCCAACCUUUCAGCAGCUUCUACACACCCAGCUCCUGCCACCCAGUGGCCUCUUUAGGCCAAGCUCAUGCUUCACAAGGGCCUUUCCAGGCCCAACUUUUGUCUCAUGGCAACCUUCCCUGGCCAGAUUCCUGCCUGUCUCCCAGCAGCCUAGACAGGCCCAGGUCUUGCCUCACACUGGCCUCUCUACAUCCAGCUUAUGCCUCACGGUGGCCUCUCCAGGCCCAACUCCUGUCCCAGGACGUCAUCUCCGGGCCCAAAACUUACUCAAGUUAGACUCUCUAGUCCCAACUGCUGCCUCCUGGUGGCCUAUGAAGGCCCAAAAUCUCCUCAAGUUGACCUGUCCAGGCCCAGCUCCUGCCUCCUGUCAGCGUCUACAGGCCCAACCUCUGCCUCAUGGGGGCUUCUCCAGGCCCACCUCUUCCUCUUGGCUGGGUCUACAGGCACAACUGCUGCCUCACAACAGCCUUUUUUGGCCCAGUUCCUGUCCAGCUCAUGGCGGCCAAUGUAGGCCCAAAACUUCCUCAAGUCAAACUCUCCAGGCCCACCUUCUGCUUCCCGGUGGCAUCAACAGGCCCAGCUUUGACUUGAGAACAGCCUCUGCAGGCCCUGCUCUUGCCUCCCAGGGGCUUUUUCCAGGCCCAGCUCUUGCCUCAUGGCAGCUGCCCCAGGCCAAAUUUCUGCCUGCCUGCCAGCAGCCUCAACAGGCACAGCUCCUCCCUCACAGUGGCCCAUUUAGGCCCAACUCAUGACUGUGAGGCCAUUUCCAGGCCUAGUGCCUGCCUCGUGGCUGACUCUUGAAGCCCAAAACUUCCUCAAAUCAGGCUUUUGCCCAACUUCUGUCUACUGUCGGACUCUACAGGUCAGCCUCUGCCUCACAGUGGACCCUCCAGACCCAGAUGGUGUCUCACUGUGGCAUCCUCAGGCGAAGCUCCUGCCUUUCGGCAGCCUCUCCAGGCCCAGCUCCUCCUGCCUCCCAGUGGCCUCUUUCGGCCCAGCCCAGCUCAUGCCUCCCGGCGGCCUUCCCAAGCCCCGCUUUUGACUUUCGGUGGCCUCUGCAGGCCUCGACAAGGCCCAGCCUCCUGCCUCCCGAAGGCCUGCACAGGCCCAGCCUCUGCCUCACAGCGGACUCUCCACGCCCAGCUAGCUGUUGCUUCACUGCGGCCUCCCGAGUCCAAAGCUCCUGCCUCUCGGCCGCUUCGGCAGGCCCAGCUCCCGCCUGCCAGUGGCCUCUUCAGGCCCAUGGGGCUCAUUCCUGACAACGGCCUUUCCAGGCCCAGUUUUUCCCUUCCGGCGGCCUCUCCGGGCCCAGAACCUCCUCAAGUCGGCCUCUCCAGACCCACUUGCACCCUCCGGGCGUUCUCUCCGGGCCCAGCUCUUCUUCCUGGUUGGGUCUCCAGGCCCGAUUCCUGCCUCUCAACAACCUCUUUGGACUCAGUGCCUACCCAUCUCCUGGCGGCCUUGGUCGGCCCACAGCUUCCUCAAGCCAAGCUCCCCAGGCCCAGGUCAGGCCUCACGGUGGCCUCUCCAGGAUGAGCUCCUGCCCUCCGAUGGCAUCUCCAGGCCCCAAAUGGUCUCCGGUCGGUGGGCUCCUCCACGCCAAGGUUGGGCCUCCCGGCGACCGCCGCAGGCCCAAGUUGUCCUGAAGUCGGGCUCUCCCGGCCCUGCCUCCCAGCAAGUAAGCAAGCUCUUUUGGCUCAACUCCUGCCCAGCUCCCAACCGCCUUUGUAGGCCCCGAACUUUCUCCAGCCAAGCUCUGAGGGCCCACCUCCUGCCUCCUGGUGGCCUGUACAGUUCUAGCACUGGUUGGAGAACAGCCUCUGCAGGCCCCUCCCUUGCCUCCCAGGGGCCUCUCCAGGCCCAGCUCUUGCCCCCACGGCGGCCUCCCGGGGCCAAGUCCCUGCCUGCCUCCCAGCAGCCCGCGUGCGGCCCAGCUCCUCCCUCACGGUGGCCUGUUGAUGCCCAACUCAUGCCUCUGGCACCCUGCCCAGAGGCGUGAGCCCCUGCCUCACACUGGCUCCUCCCACGCUGAGAGAGGUCAGUGUGAGCCCUUGCCUCACACCGGCCCCUCCCACGCGGACAGAGGUCAGCGUGAGCCCCUUGCCUCACACCGGCCCCUCCCACGCUGAGAGAGGUCAGUGUGAGCCCUUGCCUCACCCCGGCCCCUCCCACGUGGACAGAGGUCAGCGUGAGCCCCUUGUCUCACACCGGCCCCUCCCACGCUGAGAGAGGUCAGUGUGAGCCCUUGCCUCACACCGGCCCCUCCCACGCGGACAGAGGUCAGCGUGACCCCCUGCCUCAACAGGCCACCGUGAGGGAGGAACAGGAUCGCACUCGGGCUGCUGGGAGGUAGGCAGGGACUUGGGCCUGGGAGGUCGCGGUGGGGCGAGAGCUGGGCCUGGAGACUCCCCUGGGAGGCAACAGCGGGGUCUGCAGACGCCCUUCUCCAGCCGGAGCUGGGACUGUUCAGUCACUGGGAGAAGGGAUGUGGGUCUGAAGAGCUUGGUUGCAGAAACUUCGGGGUCUACAAACGCAGGCGGGAGCUGAGCCAAAAGAGCUUGUUUGCUGGGAGGUGGGAGAUGCAGCCAGGAGGAACAGCUGGGCAAUGCGGGAGGCAGAGGCCAGGCCUCCUUAAGUUGGCCUCUCAGACCCACUUGCAGCCUCCCGGCGCCCCCUCCGGGCCCAGCUCUUCCUCCCGGCUGCAUCUCCAGGCCGGACUCUGGCCCGACUCCAGGUCCCAACAACGUCUUUGGACUCAGCUCCUGCCCAGCUCCCAGCGGCCCUGGUAGGCCCACAACUUCCCUAAGCCAAGCUCCCCAGGCCCAGCUCAGGCCUCGCGGUGGCCUCUCCAGGCUCAGCUCCUGGCCCUCCGAUGACAUCUGCAGGCCCCAAAUGGCCUCCGGUCGGUGGGCUCCUCUAGGCCCAGCUUGGGCCUCCCGGCGGCCUCCGCAGGCCCAAAUCGUCCCGAAGUCAGUCUCUCCAGGCUUAGCUCCAGCCUCCCGGCGGCCUCUGCAGGCCCAAGUCGUCCUCAAGUCGGCCUGGAAGUGGGCCUGGAAGAGCAGCAAGUCGGCCUCCCUGGGCCCAGCUCCGUCCUCUCGACGGCCUCUCCAGGUGCAAAACUUCCUCGAGUCAGCCUCUCCAGGCCCAGCUCCUCCUGCCUCCCAGUGGCCUCUUUCGGCCCAGCCCAGCUCAUGGCUCUCGGCGGCCUUCCCAGGCCCCGCUUUUGACUUUUGGCAGCCUCUUCAGGCGCAGAACUUGAUCUCCAGUCGGCCUUUGCAGGCCCGGCCUCCUGCCUCUCGAAGGCCUGCACGGGCCCGGCCUCGGCCUCGGCCUCACAGCAGACUCUCCACGCCCAGCUAGCUCUCGCCUCACUGCGGCCUCCCCAGUCCAAAGCUCCUGCCUUUCGGCCACUUCGGCAGGUCCAGCUCCUGCCUGCCAGUGGCCUCUUUAGGCCCAGCUCAUUCCUCACGUCGGCCAUUCCAGGCCCCGUUUUUCCCUUCCGGCAGCCUCUUGGCCUCUAAUUUGUUUAUCUUUUGUGUAUAAAUCCCAAAAUAUUGAAUUUUGGAAUAUUUCCACCAUUAUGUAAAUAUUUUGAUAGGUAAUUUAUUUGGAGUGAGUUUCUGCGCCAAGCCCGAAUUUUUUAUUUUAUUUUCCUUAUUAUUUGGUGUUAAACAGGUUUAAUGACGGUCAUGGCAACUUUUUGGCACAAUGAAAAAUAUCGCCCACGA
rnacentral:lncRNA from 1 species